AUACGUAGGGAGCGAGCGUUGUCCGGAUUUACUGGGUGUAAAGGGUGCGUAGGCGGCUCUGCAAGUCAGGUGUGAAAACUAUGGGCUUAACUCAUAGAUUGCACUUGAAACUGUGGGGCUUGAGUGGAGUAGAGGCAGGCGGAAUUCCCGGUGUAGCGGUGAAAUGCGUAGAGAUCGGGAGGAACACCAGUGGCGAAGGCGGCCUGCUGGGCUUUAACUGACGCUGAGGCACGAAAGCAUGGGUAGCAAACAGGAUUAGAUACCCUGGUAGUCCAUGCCGUAAACGAUGAUUACUAGGUGUGGGGGGUCUGACCCCUUCCGUGCCGGAGUUAACACAAUAAGUAAUCCACCUGGGGAGUACGACCGCAAGGUUGAA
rnacentral:rRNA from 1 species